rnacentral:tRNA from 3 species
GCUGAUGUGGCUCAGUGGUAGAGCAGCGCACUCGUAAUGCGCAGGUCGCCGGUUCAAAUCCGGCCAUCAGCUCCA